UACGAAGGGGGCUAGCGUUGCUCGGAAUCACUGGGCGUAAAGCGCACGUAGGCGGAUUGUUAAGUCAGGGGUGAAAUCCUGGAGCUCAACUCCAGAACUGCCUUCGAUACUGGGUAUCUUGAGUACGGGAGAGGUGUGUGGAACUCCGAGUGUAGAGGUGAAAUUCGUAGAUAUUCGGAAGAACACCAGUGGCGAAGGCGACACACUGGCCCGUUACUGACGCUGAGGCGCGAAAGCGUGGGGAGCAAACAGGG
rnacentral:rRNA from 1 species